AUUGCUUAAGUCGAAUGGCAGACAUUAGGAUGAUACCCUAAAGGAAGAGGAUGAACCUCAAGCAAUA
rnacentral:tRNA from 1 species